UACGUAGGGUCCGAGCGUUGUCCGGAAUUAUUGGGCGUAAAGGGCUCGUAGGCGGUUUUGUCGCGUCGGGAGUGAAAACACGGGGCUUAACCCCGUGCCUGCUUCCGAUACGGGCAGACUAGAGGUAUGCAGGGGAGAACGGAAUUCCUGGUGUAGCGGUGAAAUGCGCAGAUAUCAGGAGGAACACCCGGUGGCGAAGGCGGUCUCUG
rnacentral:rRNA from 1 species